GCACUGAGGGGCUACAGCCGUGUAUAAGGAUGAUUAUGUUGUUUCCAUCUUGUACACUGAGGGGCUACGGCCGUGUACAUAGUAUUGAUUAGACGGUUUAUGUGCAUAUGAUUUUAUAGCUUUCAGAUCACUAGUAGAUGUUUACAUGGGGUAUAUUUUAAUGUGAAUUUAAGUAUAUAGAUUAUUAGCCUUCAGCUUACAUUUCCCCGUUUACAGUUCAGUUUAUGGAUUUCAGAUUAUAGAGUUCAAUUUAUUCAGUUCUAAGAAUAAAGCUUCCGGCUUAUAAUAUUGAGCAACAACAAUAUUCCAUAGAUUUUCAUGAAUGCUUGAUUAUUUAUAUUCAUUAUACUUUGCAGUUACUUGUCUA
rnacentral:lncRNA from 1 species